rnacentral:rRNA from 1 species
AUUGAACGCUGGCGGCAUGCCUAACACAUGCAAGUCGGGCGACGGGCGGACGGGUGAUUAAUGGAUGGGGAUCUGCCUGAUGAAGGGGAAUAACUGAUGGAAACGGUUGCUAAUACCUCAUACCAUCAGAUGCACCAUUGUGGGAUUAGCUUGUAGGUGAGGUAACGGCUCACCUAGGCGACGAUGCCUAUCUGGGCUGAGAGGAUGAUCAGCCACACUGGGACUGAGACACGGCCCAGACUCCUACGGGAGGCAGCAGUGGGGAAUAUUGCACAAUGGGCAGAAGCCUGAUGCAGCCAUGCCGCGUGUAUGAAGAAGGCCUUCGGGUUGUAAAGUACUUUAAGUCGGGAGGCGUUACCGACAGAAGAAGCACCGGCUAACUCCGUGCCAGCAGCCGCGGUAAUUC